UACGAAGGGGGCUAGCGUUGCUCGGAAUCACUGGGCGUAAAGCGCACGUAGGCGGCUUCUUAAGUCGGGGGUGAAAUCCUGGAGCUCAACUCCAGAACUGCCUUCGAUACUGGAAGGCUUGAGUCCGGGAGAGGUGAGUGGAACUGCGAGUGUAGAGGUGAAAUUCGUAGAUAUUCGCAAGAACACCAGUGGCGAAGGCGGCUCACUGGCCCGGUACUGACGCUGAGGUGCGAAAGCGUGGGGAGCAAACAAG
rnacentral:rRNA from 1 species